rnacentral:rRNA from 1 species
GACAGAGGGUGCAAACGUUGUUCGGAAUUACUGGGCGUAAAGCGCGUGUAGGCUGCUUCGCAAGUCGGAUGUGAAAGCCCUGGACUCAACCCAGGAAGUGCAUUCGAAACUGCAGAGCUGGAGUCCUGGAGAGGAAGGCGGAAUUCUCGGUGUAGAGGUGAAAUUCGUAGAUAUCGAGAGGAACACCGGUGGCGAAGGCGGCCUUCUGGACAGUGACUGACGCUGAGACGCGAAAGCGUGGGGAGCAAACAGG